rnacentral:rRNA from 1 species
UACGGAGGGGGCAAGCGUUGUUCGGAGUUACUGGGCGUAAAGCGCGCGUAGGCGGUCCGUUAAGACAGGUGUGAAAUCCCUGGGCUCAACCUAGGAAUUGCGCUUGUGACUGGCGGGCUCGAGUACGGUAGAGGGGGGUGGAAUUCCUGGUGUAGCAGUGAAAUGCGUAGAGAUCAGGAGGAACACCGAUGGCGAAGGCAGCCCCCUGGGCCUGUACUGACGCUCAUGCACGAAAGCGUGGGGAGCAAACAGG